GUCGUAAAAACUAAAGCAUAUCUAUUGCUACGUUCGCAUUACCAAUAAACUGACUCUGGUCACACAGCUAUACACUCUGCAGGUCAGCCCACUUCAUUCAAGCGUGAAGACAAACUCACAAGCUGGAAAGUCAACAUCCCUCAGGGGUCUGUCGUUACACUUCCCGUCACAGGUGCACACUGCCUUGAAACCUCUCCUUCAGUUGGCAAAGUCAUCGCUCACCCCUCUGCUCCCCCACCUACUAAGCUACUCAGAGAAAUGCUUUCCAAAUGAUGGCAAAAUUGAGAGCAAGAAAUUAGCCUCCAUAUAGAGCACUGGGUUACCAGUGGCUCAAAACAGUGCCGGUUUCCAAACUCAUUUAUUCAUUCUUUUGUUUAUUUAUUCAACAAACACAUGUUGGCUUCUACUAUGUGCCAGGUACUGUGCUGUGUCCUUCCCCAGCUAGCUCCACUCUAGUCCACUCGUUCUUCCUGAAAACACUUCUGCACAUUGCUCUUCAGAUAGCCAUCUUCAACAACACACCUUACGGGAGAAACCAAGGAAACUUACUGUUUGACUUGCAAAGUCAACAGUUCCAGUGCUGGGGUCUGGUCUGCAACCCCAGAGCUGGGAGGUUGGCUUGGUGGGAGAAUGCACCCCAGGCCAAGGCUCAGGAACUAACUCAUCAGAAGCCGUCCUUCCAGAAGGCUCUGUUCAUUCACACCAACAGAAGAAUCAGGAAGAGUUCGAGACAUGAAAAUGUAGAGAGACACAGGAGGCCAACCAGAUGCCCUCCAGUCCAAGUCCUACAGGUGUCUUCGGCUCUUUGACUGUUUAGGGGCCUCAACAACUGUCCAGAAGAAGGUGGGAUUUGCCUGUUACACAGCAGUGCAGUUCAGUGUUUUCGUGGCCCUAAAUCUCUUUGGAUGGCCUUAAGGAAACCCCAGCAAGGAGCCAACACAAGAUGAGUAAUGGUAUAGUGACUCAGACAAGAACAAGAUGUCUCUGAAUGAAAGAAAACAGUGUACUCCAAUCACAGGAAGCCGGAAGCGGAAACCACCAUGAGAGCCGAAAGUCAGUCUUGAAGUAGCACACCUGCCAACUACCAAAAACUGUCCUCAGGUUGGAAGUGAAUUAAACCAAUGGCUGUCCUCUCAGUAAAAACUCCGGUGUCCAAAGUAUGCUGUCUUCUCCUAUCCCUUAAAUAAGACUUCCUUUUGAGGUAUACUGUUUAAACAACUCUUUGGGGCAGGAAUUUCCUAAACUUCUCUUUUGCUGUGUGAGAGGACUAUCUACCCAUUGAGAGAGGGUCUGUCAAUUCCCUUUUUUUUUUUCAGCUCUUGGGAUGCAGCUACAGCACACACUGCUGGCUUCCCACCUAAUAUCCAUUUCUCUUCUCGCUUAUUAACAGAAUCCACAUUAGAGGGUAUACUAAUGUUCCCUGAUAAAAUUUAUAUUUCCCAGCUUUCCUUACAGGUAAUUGUAGCCAUGGAACAUAGUUCUGGUCGAUAAAAUGUAAGUUGAGGGGCUGGCCUGGUGGCGCAGCGGUUAAGUGCCCACAUUCUGCUUCAGCAG